rnacentral:rRNA from 1 species
AUUGAACGCUGGCGGCAGGCUUAACACAUGCAAGUCGAGCGAGCGGCGGACGGGUGAGUAAUGUCUGGGAAACUGCCUGAUGGAGGGGGAUAACUACUGGAAACGGUAGCUAAUACCGCAUACCAUCAGAUGUGCCCAAAUGGGAUUAGCUAGUAGGUGGGGUAAGGGCGCACCUAGGCGACGAUCUCUAGCUGGUCUGAGAGGAGGACCAGCCACACUGGAACUGAGACACGGUCAAGACUCCUACGGGAGGCAGCAUUGGGGAAUAUUGCACAAUGGGCGCAAGCCUGAUGCAGCCAUGCCGCGUGUAUGAAGAAGGCCUUCGGGUUGUAAAGUACUUUCAGCGGGGAGGCGUUACCCGCAGAAGAAGCACCGGCUAACUCCGUGCCAGCAGCCGCGGUAAUUC